AGCCGUGUGGUGAGCACAGAGCGAACUAUUCUUUCGCCUUUUACUAAAGAAUACCGUGUGCUCGCCACUUUAAGCGGCAUACGCCAAUUUUUGUAAGGGCAUUCUUUGUUGAGUGCC
rfam:Gossypium arboreum cultivar AKA8401 contig_9588_3, whole genome shotgun sequence.